rnacentral:tRNA from 1 species
GCGCGCUUAGCUCAGUGGUAGAGCACAUCCUUCACACGGAUGGGGUCGCAGGUUCGAGACCUGCAGCGCGCACCA